GUACGUGAAACCGUUCAGGGGUAAACGGGAGAAAUCCUGAAUUCGAAGGGGAUUGGAUUCAAGUCUGACCGGAUGUACAGGCCUCGCUCUGCCAGAUGGUGCUGGUCGCCCACGGUGAUUCAUUUCGCUUGUGGUGUCGUUCCUGGCAAUCACUCGGUGGGGUGUUGAUUGUUCUGGCUCCGGAGGAGUGCACUUCCUCCCUUGUAGAAACGUCGCGACCCGUUGGGUGCCUGUCUAAGGCCUGGGAUGGCAGACCAUGUGUCCUGUGCGGUCACUCACAGGCACGUGGACUCCUGGUGACCUGGCUGGCUGCUCGACGGUAUGACCAGAGGAGUCGAUCCGCUGAAAAGGAAACACUGUGGUUGUGUAGCGUCCGGCCCGACGCUGACAUGUGCGGGAAUGUGGUGUAAACCGGGGGUGUUCGUGCAGAAGCACGAGCCCGGUCCCGUCACAUUGUUGGAUCUGUCGGAGUCCUCGGACAGGAUCAGUACUCCCGUCGGCGACGCCCACCUUCGGAUGG
rnacentral:rRNA from 1 species